AAGGAGCACCACGAGAGACACUCUCCGUUGGGGACGGUGUGAGCCGUGAGGAGCUGGAGCGCUGUAGUGGCGCCGGCUUGGUGCACAGCAAACGUUGAGAUGCGGUGUGGGAAACGCUGUUUCGAUGGACUGCCAGACACACUAUUGGGCCCUGAGACAACAGGCCCGUUGUUCCCUGGCCACUGUGUGUGGUGGGAGGCGUGUUGUUGCCCUGCUUUGGUGGUGGGGUGUGGUGUUUGAUUUGUGGAUAGUGGUUGCGAGCAUCUAGUUCGUAAGAGUGUGGCUGCCGGCCUUUGAGGUUGGGUGGCGCAUUGUUGCGGACAAAUUGAUGUGCCAUUUUUCUUCUGAUUAUUGGUUUUUUGU
rnacentral:sRNA from 1 species